GACAGCAAUGUUCAAGAGCAACAAGGAAAUGCAAGCCCUAAUAUGCAAGUGGAUUUCACAUCUCUGCCUGGGUGAUGCCCGUAUCAUUUCAAUGACCAAAGUGACCUGUAUCAUCAAACUUGGAGGCAGUGGGAGAGAAAGAGGAGUUCCAGUCUGUCCAGAAGGGUUCCAGCUGUUUAUGAAGGUUCCAGUUUGUCAACAUGCUCCUCUACCUCAGGUUCAGCUUUACUUCCAGACUGCUGGUUCUGCUUGCCUGUGGUGACUUCAGACUCACCCCCAGACAUAACAGCAAUGGCUUUACACUGACUUCCCCACCAGCUCUGCCCAAUAAUAAACUCUCUCAUUCCAUGUCA